AGGGGCCUGAGGCAUGGUGCAGGUAAGAGGGGAGGGGCCUGAGGCAUGGUGCAGGUAAGAGGGGAGGGGCCUGAGGCGUGGUGCAGGCAAGAGGGGAGGGGCCUGAGGUCAGAGUUCAGCAUGGGACGGGUAAGAAAAAGGCCAUUGCUCACCAAGACUGCAUUUAUUGAUUGGCUAGGAGUAGUGCUGCCAAACGAUUAAUCGCAUCCAAAAUAAGGUUUUAUUUACAUAAUACAUGUAAGAGUACUGUGUAUAUUUAUUAUGCAUAUAUACAUUCACACACAUACAGUAUAUAUUUUGAAAAUGUUUACAUUUCAUGUGUUAUGUAUAAAUAUUUAAUAUGUAAUCACAUCGUAAUCUAUCCAUGCAUGUGUGUGUUCAUCUAUACGUUACAUUUAGUCAUUUAGCAGACACUUUUAUACAAAGUGACUUAAAAAUGAGGACCAUAGAAGCAUUUAAAUCUAAUCAAAGAGUAAUGAUACACAAGUGCUAUAACAACUGUUAACACAGCACACAUUGCAAGGUUUUUUUAU